rnacentral:rRNA from 1 species
UACGUAGGCAGCGAGCGUUGUUCGGAGUUACUGGGCGUAAAGGGUGUGUAGGCGGUUUUUUAAGUUUGGUGUGAAAUCUCCCGGCUCAACCGGGAGGGUGCGCCGAAUACUGAGGGACUAGAGUGCGGGAGAGGAAAGUGGAAUUCCUGGUGUAGCGGUGAAAUGCGUAGAUAUCAGGAGGAACACCGGUGGGGUAGACGGCUUUCUGGACCGUAACUGACGCUGAGACACGAAAGCGUGGGUAGCAAACAGG